rnacentral:SRP_RNA from 1 species
UGCGUCAGGAGCGGAAGCCAGCAGUCUUGACGGAAU